UAACUUGUGGUCAAAACUUGGAGAAAGGUA
rnacentral:piRNA from 1 species